GCUUUUCCUUUCAUCCACACGCUUUACUGUUCCCAAGUCCGGAUGCUUCCGCACCCUUUGAUCCACAAGCACCUCUUCUUUUCGCUCCGUUUCGUUGCUUUCUCCUCCACGGUUUAGUUCUUGCUUCAGUAACAAUCAGACACGUCCCCACACCUUUUCCUUCUUGCUGCAGUUAAGCUUUCCUCCUCCACCACUCAGUUCUUGCUUCAGUUCGAAUCAAUUUUACCACCCAAAAACCCAGAUCGCUGUUGCUCAUCCAAAACCCACACAGCCGCCACCGCCACUUCAUCCAUCACCACGUUUUACGGAUUCCUGUUGACUGAAGACCGUUCCCGGUUCCCGCAACAGCCUCUGGUGUGUCUUCUACAACUCCUACAUCGACGAGCUAGAUAGCUGCUUUGCCUGGUCUCCACCCCACAUUUAACAAGUUCAAAUUCCAUAGAAGUCGGUUCUGCAGAUUGUGUCUGCAAUUAGAUCAGAGAUGAACUGCUCUUUUGUUAUCAUGCGGAAGAUUGCUUUUGGGAAGGAUCUGAAGCAGUUCCUAUAUGUGAUUGCUGACCUGUGACUUUGUUUGGAGCUCACGUGGCUCCCGUUGGAUUCAGUAUGCUUGAGCUACUGCCAAUCUAUAGGUUGGGUGCCACUUUAAAUGUAGGAAAAUUAAAAAAAAGGAUCUUCAGUUGCUGUUUUUGGACUUGACUAUGUUGGCUUCACUUAUUUGAAACCUUUUCAGUCGAACAAGAUUAGAGUUCAAAUAUGAAGAUUUGGAGACCCAAAGUAAUCGGAUCUCAUGAUCGAAUUGGUGGUUUUCUAAGCAUAUUACUUAAUUAUAUGGUAACAAAACUGAAAAAGAAUCAUCAAUUGCUCUUUUUUUGACUUGGCUCCGGUGGCCUCGCUCGUAACAGAUGACUCGGCUUGACUUCAAUACCAAGAGGUUUAAAAAAGUUCCUAGUUCUGGAAGGUCUGGAGGUCUUUGUGCUAUGUGGAAGACGGAAGCUAAUCUAUUGUUACGAUCCUACUCUUCUAAUCAUAUUGAUCUGGAAGUAGGAGGGGUGGGUGAUGACAUUCACUGGAGAGUUACCUUCUUUUAUGGUUUUCCGGCGGAGGGAGAUAGGCAUAAAUCUUGGAGUUUGCUUCGACAGUUAAAAGAUAAUUCUAAUUUGCCAUGGUGCUGCAUGGGGGACUUUAAUGAGGUUUUUUGUGCGGAGGAACAGGAAGGAGGGGAUAUUCGUAGUG
rnacentral:sRNA from 1 species